GACGAACGCUGGCGGCGUGCUUAACACAUGCAAGUCGAACGGAAAGGCCCUGCUUUUGUGGGGUGCUCGAGUGGCGAACGGGUGAGUAACACGUGAGUAACCUGCCCUUGACUUUGGGAUAACUUCAGGAAACUGGGGCUAAUACCGGAUAGGAGCUCCUGCUGCAUGGUGGGGGUUGGAAAGUUUCGGCGGUUGGGGAUGGACUCGCGGCUUAUCAGCUUGUUGGUGGGGUAGUGGCUUACCAAGGCUUUGACGGGUAGCCGGCCUGAGAGGGUGACCGGCCACAUUGGGACUGAGAUACGGCACAGACUCCUACGGGAGGCAGCAGUGGGGAAGAUUGCACUAUGGGCGGAAGCCUGAUGCAGCAACGCCGCGUGCGGGAUGACGGCCUUCGGGUUGUAAACCGCUUUCGCCUGUGACGAAGCGUGAGUGACGGUAAUGGGUAAAGAAGCACCGGCUAACUACGUG
rnacentral:rRNA from 1 species